AACAAAAACAUGUCUUUUUGGAUUUAAUUUAAAGUUUAACCUGCCCAAUGAGUGUUUUAAUGGCCGCAGUAAAUUGACUGUGCAAAGGUAGCAUAAUCAUUAGUUUUUUAAUUAGAAGCUGGAAUGAAUGGUUGGACGAAAUAUAAACUGUCUUAAAUUAAUAAAUAGAAUUUAAUUAUUUAGUAAAAAAGCUAAAAUGAUAAUAAAAGACGAGAAGACCCUAUAGAUCUUUAUAUUUGGUUAAUUAAAAUUAGUUAAGAAAAUUAUAUGAUUUAGUUUAUUAAAUAUUUUAUUGGGGUAAUAAUAAGAUUAAAAAAAUUCUUUUAUAAGAUAAACAUAAAUUAAUGGAUAAAAUUUGAUCCUUUAUUAAGAUAAUAAGAUUAAGUUACCUUAGGGAUAACAGCGUAAUUUUUUUAGAGAGUUCAUAUCGAUAAAAGAGUUUGCGACCUCGAUGUUG
rnacentral:rRNA from 1 species